UACGGAGGGUGCAAGCGUUAUCCGGAUUCACUGGGUUUAAAGGGUGCGUAGGAGGGUAGGUAAGUCAGUGGUGAAAUCCCCGAGCUUAACUUGGGAACUGCCGUUGAUACUAUCUAUCUUGAAUACCGUGGAGGUGAGCGGAAUAUGUCAUGUAGCGGUGAAAUGCUUAGAUAUGACAUAGAACACCAAUUGCGAAGGCAGCUCGCUACACGAAUAUUGACUCUGAGGCACGAAAGCGUGGGGAUCAAACAGG
rnacentral:rRNA from 1 species